rnacentral:rRNA from 1 species
GAUGAACGCUGGCGGCGUGCCUAAUACAUGCAAGUAGAACGCUGAAGGAAGGAGCUUGCUCUUUCCGGAUGAGUUGCGAACGGGUGAGUAACGCGUAGGUAACCUGCCUGGUAGCGGGGGAUAACUAUUGGAAACGAUAGCUAAUACCGCAUAACAGUAGAUGUUGCAUGAUAUCUACUUAAAAGGUGCAAUUGCACCACUACCAGAUGGACCUGCGUUGUAUUAGCUAGUUGGUGAGGUAACGGCUCACCAAGGCGACGAUACAUAGCCGACCUGAGAGGGUGAUCGGACACACUGGGACUGAGACACGGCCCAGACUCCUACGGGAGGCAGCAGUAGGGAAUCUUAGGCAAUGGACGGAAGUCUGACCGAGCAACGCCGCGUGAGUGAAGAAGGUUUUCGGAUCGUAAAGCUCUGUUGUAAGAGAAGAACGAGUGUGAGAGUGGAAAGUUCACACUGUGACGGUAUCUUACCAGAAAGGGACGGCUAACUACGUG